GUUCCAUCUGCGAUUGAGCACCAUUUCUGCAAAAAGUAAGGAUGGCCUUGCUGAGAGAUCUUUUGUCUCUGUGCUGACUUUUCUUCACGGCACUGAUUAUCUUUUUCUAACAAUUUUGGUAUUUCUAACAAUUUUGGUGGCAAUUGUAUGGGGAUAUACUUUCCUCCAGGGGCGUCUCUAGUCCUCUCUCAUGAGGGGGCACUCCGCUGCCUCUUGCAGUGGCCUCAGGGGUAAGGGACCGAGACCCAUCCGGUGUGACCAAUAAACCUGGACUCUCAGCAAUGUGGAAAGAAACUGGCCAACAACCUGGGGUAAAGGAUCCUCACAUACCGAGGUGAUGACUCUGUGCACAGACCAACGAAGGAGAAGCCGCAGGAGCCGGUGUUAUGUCGUACCACACAUCCGGGAGUUCAUCAAAACAACUAAGCCAAGACAUGUUAAGAAAGUUUGAAGAGGAAAACUAUACAGUAAAAGGGGAGGGAAUUGUAGGAAGUAAAAAGUUUCUGCUUCAAAGUUCCCCUUCUUGUUAAAGAAUAAAUCAUAAGUCUUAGAAAUAAUAGAUUCUUUUAAAGACUAAUUUUCUUCAAGCCUCCUUGCUUUGUGCUAAUAGCUCUUUGUUAAGCCCUAUCCUAUGUAACUGUUGGACAUACUCACAGACACAUUCCAGCUCACAGCCUACGCCCCUUCCUUAAUUGGAAAUGUUAUUGCUUCCUGAAACCUUUUGUAAGCAACUUCUUUGUUCUUCCUUGCACUUACCUAUUUAGGAAAGUUUCAAAUCGGGUAUCAGUUUAAGAUUGUGAGGUCCCACUCCAGCCAAUGGAUGCAGGACACAGCAGUAAGGACAACCCAAAUGCGUAAGGGAUAAAUACGUCUGCUUUUCCUUUGUUCAGGUGUGCUCUCACCAUUGUUCCAUCUGCAAUUGAGCACCCUUUCUGCAGAAAGUAAAGAUGGCCUUGCUGAGAGA